GGGAUUUAAAGAUCUCAAUCUAUUUAAUGAUGCAAUUUUGGCAAAGCAAGCAUGGAGGAUAUUGCAAUCUCCUUACUCUCUGUGUGCUAGGUUGUUGAAGGGAAUUUAUUUUCCUUAUGCUUAUUUCUUGAAUGCCUGGGUCCCUUCUAAUUCAUCAUGGGCGUGGCGUUGUCUUUUGAAUGGGAGCGAAGUUCUCAAGUUAGGGCUGAGAUGGAAUAUCACUGGUAGAUCUUUUGUUAAUGUAUGGACUGAACCUUGGGUUUCUAGUCUUCCUCAGUUUAAGAUUUCUUCUAUGCAGCCACAGAAUAGUCCAAUCAUGUAUAUGUCCGAUCUCAUAGCCUUCUAUUAUGACUUGGGACCCUUGUACUGUACAUGCAUGAUUUUCUCCUAUGGAAUGUAAGGAGAUAAUGAAGAUUCCCCUGUCUAGGUAACUAAUGAUGAUAGAAGAGUAUGGCAUUAUACUGAAAAUGGAGUUCCAACAGUGAAAUCAAU
rnacentral:misc_RNA from 1 species